rnacentral:rRNA from 1 species
GACGAACGCUGGCGGCGUGCUUAACACAUGCAAGUCGAACGGAAAGGCCCUGCUUUUGUGGGGUGCUCGAGUGGCGAACGGGUGAGUAACACGUGAGUAACCUGCCCUUGACUUUGGGAUAACUUCAGGAAACUGGGGCUAAUACCGGAUAGGAGCUCCUGCUGCAUGGUGGGGGUUGGAAAGUUUCGGCGGUUGGGGCUGGACUCGCGGCUUACCAGCUUGUUGGUGGGGUAGGGGCUUACCAAGGCUUUGACGGGUAGCCGGCCUGAGAGGGUGACCGGGGACAUGGGGACUGAGAGACGGCGCAGAAUCGUACGGGACGCAGCAGUGGAGAAUAUUGCAGAAUGGGGGGAAGUCUGAUACAGCAAUGUCGCGAGCGGGAUGACGGCUUUCGAGUUAUAAACCAAUUUGGCCGGUGCCGAAGCGUGAGUGACGGUAAUUGGUAAGAAAGCCACGGCUAACUACGUG